GACAGAGGUCCCGAGCGUUAGGCGGAAUCACUGGGCUUAAAGCGUGUGUAGGCGGAUUUGUAAGUACCUUGUGAAAUCCCACGGCUUAACCGUGGAACUGCUUGGUAUACUGCUUAUCUUGGGCCAUCUAGGGGCUACUGGAACAAACGGUGGAGCGGUGAAAUGCGUAGAUAUCGUUUGGAACGCCAAUGGUGAAAACAAGUAGCUGGGGAUGUGCCGACGCUGAGACACGAAAGCCAGGGGAGCAAACGGG
rnacentral:rRNA from 2 species